rnacentral:rRNA from 1 species
CAGUCGCCGCGGUAAUACGAAGGGUGCAAGCGUUAAUCGGAAUUACUGGGCGUAAAGCGCGCGUAGGUGGUUUGGUAAGAUGGAUGUGAAAUCCCCGGGCUCAACCUGGGAACUGCAUCCAUAACUGCCUGACUAGAGUACGGUAGAGGGUGGUGGAAUUUCCUGUGUAGCGGUGAAAUGCGUAGAUAUAGGAAGGAACACCAGUGGCGAAGGCGACCACCUGGACUGAUACUGACACUGAGGUGCGAAAGCGUGGGGAGCAAACAGGAUUAGAUACCCCCGUAGUCCCUGUCUCUUAUAC